CUUUGCUCAUCACUCCUCCAUCUCUACAAUUGGGUUCCAGGAGUUCUGCUCAGUGUUUAGCUGUGGAUCUCUGCUUCUAUUUCCAUCAGCUACUGGAUGAAGGCUCUAGGAUGGCAUUUAAGGUGGUCAUCAAUCUCAUUAUAGGGGAAGGGCAUUUAAGAUAGCCUCUCCACUAUUGCUUAGAUUGCUAGUUGAGGUCAUCCUUGUGGAUCUCUUGGACAUUUCCCAAGUGUCAGGUUUCUCUUCAAACCUAUAAUGGCUCCCUCUAUUAACGUAGCUCUUUUCUUGCUCUCCUCUAUUCAUCCCCAGACUCAAUAUUCCUUAUCCCUCAGGGAUGUUCCUUCUUAAUGUUUCUGUUCUACUCUAAAUUUCAGUCAGUUUGCUUAGACCUGAAGCAUUGGUGCAUACCUGUGAUCCCAGCUCCCCAGGAGGGUGAGGCAUGAAGAUUGCUUGAGCCCAGGCAGACUAUCUAGGGUAUUCAACAGUCAUCAAGCAUAUAAGAACACUAGAUGCAAGAUAAGAAGGUAGCUGGCCCUGGGGUGAUAAGCAAGGCAAUGCCCUGGCCCUCAAGAUUCUCACGGGUCAUUCUGGAAAACAGCUGGUCUUCAAAGGUUUGAAUGUUAGAGAGCCAGGAGGGAGUGUUUUGCAGUGUUCUGUGAUGGGUUAAGAAGAGAAAGUGUCACAAAGCCGCUGGCUGCUUAAGCUGACCCUGAAGAAAGGAACUAAGACCCCAACAUACACAAGAGGAAACACAGGUCUCCGAAGAAGUAUGGCAGAGCAUAUCUCUCACAGGGUGGAGGUCUUGCUCGUCACCAGUCUCAGACACCACAGCCCUUCCAUCCCACAUCCAGCAUUACUGCUCAAGUAUUUCUACUAAGAACCCACAUUUUUCUUUUCCACCAAAGACAACACUCUUCUUUGGCCUUGUUCAUAUGUUAAGUCAAUCUUUGGUAUCUUUGCCAUUGACCUCAGACUCCUUUGCUUAAGCCGUUGAGUCAUUGCCCUGCCCCAAAAUAAUUACUAGUAACAAAAACAAUAUAGAAAUGUUCUAUUCUUUUUUCUUUCCAAUCAAUCAAAACAGCAUUUUUAUAUGAUGGAAAAUGCAAACAGGCAAAUAGCAAACAAUUUAGUUGGUAAAUUAUAGUACAUCAACAUGACAGAAGACUAUUCAGCCAGAAAGACACCAUUAAGAAGACAACAGAUGGCACAUGGGAAAGUAAAGCACAAAAUGAUCAAUAAUUAUACUUACAGAAAAAUACUUGUAAAGUGUUACUUGGAAAUGUUUAAAGCUUUAAGG
rnacentral:lncRNA from 1 species